rnacentral:rRNA from 1 species
UGAAACUGGGGGUCUUGAGGGCAGGAGAGGAAAGCAGAAUUCCUGGUGUAGCGGUGAAAUGCGUAGAAAUCAGGAGGAAUACCAGUGGCGAAGGCGGCUGCCUGGACUGCCCCUGACGCUG